CUAUGAAGGACGUGGCCAAGCCUUACAUCCCAAGGGCCAAUGCCAAGGCUUCGAAGAUGAUGUCAAAGAAGAAUAUGAACGCUACUGCCAUGGUGAGUCAUGGCAUGAUGACAACUAUUGCGAAGAUGAGGAAGAAGAUGGCGUCGACAUUGAGGUGGAGCCAUUGGUCUUCAUCGAUGAGCUCACCCAAAGAGCCGAGGCACAAAGGAGGGAGGAAAGCAUUCGCAUGGGGUC
rnacentral:lncRNA from 1 species